CCUAGGAAAUUGCCCCUGAUGUGUGGGAUAACCAUUGAAAACGAUGGCCAAUACCGCAUAAUGCCUACGGGCCAAAGAGGGGGACCUUCGGGCCUCUCGCGUCAGGAUAUGCCUAGGUGGGAUUAGCUAGUUGGUGAGGUAAUGGCUCACCAAGGCGACGAUCCCUAGCUGGUCUGAGAGGAUGAUCAGCCACACUGGAACUGAGACACGGUCCAGACUCCUACGGGAGGCAGCAGUGGGGAAUAUUGCACAAUGGGCGCAAGCCUGAUGCAGCCAUGCCGCGUGUGUGAAGAAGGCCUUCGGGUUGUAAAGCACUUUCAGUCAGUGAGGAAGGUGGUGUAGUUAAUAGCUGCAUUAUUUGACGUUAGCGACAGAAGAAGCACCGGCUAACUCCGUGCCAGCAGCCGCGGUAAUACGGAGGGUGCGAGCGUUAAUCGGAAUUACUGGGCGUAAAGCGCAUGCAGGUGGUUUGUUAAGUCAGAUGUGAAAGCCCGGGGCUCAACCUCGGAAUAGCAUUUGAAACUGGCAGACUAGAGUACUGUAGAGGGGGGUAGAAUUUCAGGUGUAGCGGUGAAAUGCGUAGAGAUCUGAAGGAAUACCGGUGGCGAAGGCGGCCCCCUGGACAGAUACUGACACUCAGAUGCGAAAGCGUGGGGAGCAAACAGGAUUAGAUACCCUGGUAGUCCACGCCGUAAACGAUGUCUACUUGGAGGUUGUGGCCUUGAGCCGUGGCUUUCGGAGCUAACGCGUUAAGUAGACCGCCUGGGGAGUACGGUCGCAAGAUUAAAACUCAAAUGAAUUGACGGGGGCCCGCACAAGCGGUGGAGCAUGUGGUUUAAUUCGAUGCAACGCGAAGAACCUUACCUACUCUUGACAUCCAGAGAACUUUCCAGAGAUGGAUUGGUGCCUUCGGGAACUCUGAGACAGGUGCUGCAUGGCUGUCGUCAGCUCGUGUUGUGAAAUGUUGGGUUAAGUCCCGCAACGAGCGCAACCCUUAUCCUUGUUUGCCAGCGAGUAAUGUCGGGAACUCCAGGGAGACUGCCGGUGAUAAACCGGAGGAAGGUGGGGACGACGUCAAGUCAUCAUGGCCCUUACGAGUAGGGCUACACACGUGCUACAAUGGCGCAUACAGAGGGCAGCAAGCUAGCGAUAGUGAGCGAAUCCCAAAAAGUGCGUCGUAGUCCGGAUUGGAGUCUGCAACUCGACUCCAUGAAGUCGGAAUCGCUAGUAAUCGUGGAUCAGAAUGCCACGGUGAAUACGUUCCCUGUCCUUGUACACUCCGCCCGUCACACCAUGGGAGUGGG
rnacentral:rRNA from 1 species